AACCAGCACCUCAAGUGGUCAGGAUGAUUAUUGGGCCUAAAGCAUCCGUAGCCGGCUCUGUAAGUUUUCGGUUAAAUCUGUACGCUCAACGUACGGGCUGCCGGGAAUACUGCAGAACUAGGGAGUGGGAGAGGUAGACGGUACUCGGUAGGAAGUGGUAAAAUGCUUUGAUCUAUCGAUGGCCACCUGUGGCGAAGGCGGUCUACCAGAACACGUCCGACGGUGAGGGAUGAAAGCUGGGGGAGCAAACCGG
rnacentral:rRNA from 1 species